CGGAGGUGCUCAUCGCUGCUGUCAUGGUUAGUUUGCUAAACUGCGUCGUCACUGUGUCCCCCCAGAACAUGGGCAUCGGCAAGAACGAGGACCUGCCCUGGCCACCGCUCAGGAAUGAAUUCAGGUAUUUCCAGAGAGUGACCACAACCUCCUCAGUAGAAGGUAAACAGAAUUUGGUGAUUAUGGGUAGGAAGAUCUGGUUCUCCAUUCCUGAGAAGAAUCGACCUUUAAAGAAUAGAAUUAAUUUAGUUCUCAGGAGGGACCACAAGAACCUCCACAAGGAGAUCAAUUUCUUGCAAGAAGUCUGGAUGAUGCCUUAAAACUUAAUAACCAGAAUUAGCAAAUAAAGUAGACGUGAUUUGGAUAGUUGGUGGUAGUUCUAUUUUAUAAGGAAUCCAUGAAUCACUCAAGCAGUCUUAAACUAUUUGUCACAAGGAUCAUACAGGACUUUGAAAGUGACACGUUUUUUCCAGAAAUUGAUUUGGAGAAAUAUAAAUUUCUGCCAGAAUACCCAGGUGUUUUCUUUGAUGUCCAGGAGGAGAAAGGCAUUAAGUACAAAUUUGAAGUACAUGAGAAGAAUGAUUAAUAUGAAGGUGUUUUCUGGUUUAAGUUGUUCCCCCUCCCUCUGAAAAAAGUAGGUAUUUUUAAAUUAGAAAAAAAAUACUUAUGUUGACUUUAAAUCUACGGAUAAUUAUUUCUAAGCAAUGUGUUCUUAUUCCCCAGUAACCUACACUAUAUCUGAUACCAUUUAUGAAACAUUCUUGCUGUAACUAAGUGCCUCCCCAAGACCCUGACUGAGUCCCCAGCAUGUGCUACAGUGAGCUGCCAUUCCACAACCUUCACAUGUGGCACUCUUGCCAGUCCUUGACAUUUUCGGGCUUUUCAAAUGUCGGUAGUGUUUAUUAAAGAUGAAGAUGCACAUACCCUUCCACUGAGCAGUUUCACUAGUGGGAAAUACCAAAAACUU